rnacentral:rRNA from 1 species
AUUGAACGCUGGCGGCAGGCCUAACACAUGCAAGUCGAGCGAGCGGCGGACGGGUGAGUAAUGUAUGGGGACUGCCCGAUAGAGGGGGAUAACUACUGGAAACGGUGGCCAAUACCGCCUAUUGUCGGAUAACCAUAUGAGAUUAGCUAGUAGGUAAGGUAAUGGCUUACCUAGGCGUCGAUCCCUAGCUGGUCUGAGAGGAUGAUCAGCCACACUGGGACUGGGACACGGCCCAGACUCCUACGGAGGCAGGAGUGGGGAAUAUUGGACAAUGGGGGCAAGCCUGAUGCAGCCAUGCCGCGUGGAUGAAGAGGGCCUUAGGGUUGUAAGGUACUUUCAGUCGGGAGGCGUUACCGACAGAAGAAGCAACGGCUAACUCCGUGCCAGCAGCCGCGGUAAUAC